CAAGGCGACGAUCCCUAGCUGGUCUGAGAGGAUGACCAGCCACACUGGAACUGAGACACGGUCCAGACUCCUACGGGAGGCAGCAGUGGGGAAUAUUGCACAAUGGGCGCAAGCCUGAUGCAGCCAUGCCGCGUGUAUGAAGAAGGCCUUCGGGUUGUAAAGUACUUUCAGCGGGGAGGAAGGUGUUGUGGUUAAUAACCGCAGCAAUUGACGUUACCCGCAGAAGAAGCACCGGCUAACUCCGUGCCAGCAGCCGCGGUAAUACGGAGGGUGCAAGCGUUAAUCGGAAUUACUGGGCGUAAAGCGCACGCAGGCGGUCUGUCAAGUCGGAUGUGAAAUCCCCGGGCUCAACC
rnacentral:rRNA from 1 species